GAGAGUGGCUCAGAGGUUAAGAGCACUGGCUGCUCUUGCAGAGGCUCUGGGUUCAGUUCCCAGCACCCUCA
rnacentral:tRNA from 1 species